CGGUUUCGACGGGAUCGAUUGCGGCUUAGGAGUCAUGUCGGGGUGUGGGCACCCGUAAUCGCCUGCAAAAACAAAGUUGCCAACGAUAAUCUGGCACUUGCAGCUUAAUUAAAUAAGCUGCCGUCUUCCACGGCUUUGCCUACGGGCUGUGAGCGGACGUCAUACAGUGGGCUGGCAUGAGCAGCUCGGUCCGUGUUGCUUGUGCGAGAUCAUCGGACUAGUUUCCGUCGCAUCUUGUCCGUUCUGAGUGCCGGGAGCGAAACCAAAAGGAACCGGGCAAAGCAUGAACACUCCUGGCUGACAGCGAUUUCGGACGCGGGUUCAACUCCCGCCGCCUCCACCA
rnacentral:tmRNA from 1 species